rnacentral:rRNA from 1 species
AGAGUUUGAUCCUGGCUCAGAUUGAACGCUGGCGGCAUGCCUUACACAUGCAAGUCGAACGGCAGCGCGGGAGCUUGCUCCUGGCGGCGAGUGGCGAACGGGUGAGUAAUACAUCGGAACGUGUCCGUUUGUGGGGGACAACCAGCCGAAAGGUUGGCUAAUACCGCAUAAGACCUGAGGGUGAAAGCCGGGGACCGCAAGGCCUGGCGCAGACGGAGCGGCCGAUGAUUGAUUAGCUUGUUGGCGGGGUAAAGGCCCACCAAGGCGACGAUCAAUAGCUGGUCUGAGAGGACGACCAGCCACACUGGAACUGAGACACGGUCCAGACUCCUACGGGAGGCAGCAGUGGGGAAUUUUGGACAAUGGGGGCAACCCUGAUCCAGCCAUGCCGCGUGCGGGAAGAAGGCCUUCGGGUUGUAAACCGCUUUUGUCAGGGACGAAAAGGGACGGGUUAAGAGCCGGUUCCGCUGACGGUACCUGAAGAAUAAGCACCGGCUAACUACGUGCCAGCAGCCGCGGUAAUACGUAGGGUGCAAGCGUUAAUCGGAAUUACUGGGCGUAAAGCGUGCGCAGGCGGUUGGGUAAGACAGAUGUGAAAUCCCCGGGCUUAACCUGGGAACUGCAUUUGUGACUGUCCGACUGGAGUACGUCAGAGGGGGGUGGAAUUCCGCGUGUAGCAGUGAAAUGCGUAGAUAUGCGGAAGAACACCGAUGGCGAAGGCAGCCCCCUGGGACGCAACUGACGCUCAUGCACGAAAGCGUGGGGAGCAAACAGGAUUAGAUACCCUGGUAGUCCACGCCCUAAACG